CAGUGACGUGUCCGGUCGACCGAAAAACCUAAAUGACUAUUGGCUUGUUUACCUGCCAAUCACCGAUUGAAAACAGAGAAGGGCAUCAUAGAGAAAAUUAAUGCACCGGUGGAAGGCCCUUGAGAAGGUUGUCUGGUGCAAGUAGAGGAGACACGAAUGGGUUCUUCAUUAUUGGUGUGCAAGGCGUCUGUAAAUCUACCAGACACCUGGAGCGGAUUGGCUCAAAGUUUUCUGGGUAUUCUCUGGAUUCCUGUGGGCUGUCUUCCGUGCGUGGAGCGGAUGUUGAAAUCCCAUUGGAUGACGUGGUGGAAGAAGCACACUCAAAGGCAACAGAGGAUCAAUCAACGUUAGCAGCCUGGAUGGUGAUGCAUCUGUUGUUAGAAGAGUCGCUGGGUACGCUGCCACAAUCCCAUCAGGAACACGUAC